AUCCUAAUGGUGGAUCUGUACAAGAACUUUGAUCUUUUCUUCCACUGUUUUGCUCAUUCUCUUUGUCAGUUUCUUUGUAGGUGGUGGAGAGCCUGCUCUGUUCUCGUUGGGUUUUCAUUUUUUGGUGAGUACCAUCUAAGAAACUUCAGACACUGCUUACUACUAGGAUGUUUGGUGAGCAUAUGCAAUUCAACAGUCGCUAUUACUUGAACAUAACCCGACCAUUACUGGGAUUAAGAUGAGUUAAUCAAGUAGUUAGGUUGAAGAAUGGUGGAAGGGAAGGAAAAAGUGUGGAUAGAGAUUAUAACAGGUGAAAGAACAGCUGAGGUGGAACAAGUUCUGGAUUUGACCUGUUUUGUUUUUUCUUGGCAACCUGUCUUUUAUUCUUUGGAUGGUUUAUAAUCCAAGCUAAAAUGAUUCAUUGAUUGGGAUGUAGGCGGAUAGAGACAAUUGUGGGGCUUGAAUCCUAUCUUCCUGUUUCCCUUGGAGAGAAGUUUAAGCAAUCUCAAACACCAAAAUGGUUGAAGGCUUCGCUAUAAUUCAGUGGAUGACUUCGAUAGAGUUUCACUGUAUAACAGCUCAAGCUCACCGCUAGCAGAUAUUGUCUUUCUUGGGUCUUCCCUUUCGGCCUUCCCCUCAAAGUUUUUAGAACACGUUUGCUAGAGAAAGAUUUCCACACCCUUACAAAAAAUGUUUCGUUCUACUUUUCAACUAAUAUGUGGGAUCUCACACAUUGAGAGAAUCCUUCGUAGCAGGAUGACUUCGAUAGAGUUUCAACUAAUCUCAGUAAAAGAUGUCUAACUAUAAUACUGCCUACAUCUUAUCAUAUAGCCUUUCAAAUAAGAUAAAGAACAUAUCAGUGAUGUGGUAAAGCUUUUUUGGCCCAGCAGAUGGGGGAGAAAGAUGAUCUAUGGACUUGAUUCUCAGCCAAUUUGAAGGACCAGGCUUGGAGUGCUAUCUCGAAACUCGAUCGACAUUUCUCGAGGAUAAAUGAAAAGCUACUUAGAUCACCUACUUGUCGUCAUACACCGGGACGCCCCAACACUCGUCGUGAAAGGAUACAUAGG